GGCUUCUCUCUCAUAUAUAUACUGUACUUCGACCAGGAAACACACAUACAUAUUUGCCAAGAAAGUAUUUGCAUUUUCAAUUGCAUCGUCUUGAUGGCCAAGCGCACCGGCCUUGCUCAUGCACCUACGCUACUCUCGCUGCUGUUUCUCAUGUGCUUUGCUAUCCAUGUACACUGUCGAAUCAUGGAUGACAAAACCAACAACAAGAUUAAUUUCCCACACGGAUUGUGCGUGCAUAAGAGUGCUCAAGACUGCCCAGAUUCAUCUUAUUGUGACUGUUGUUUAGUAAGGAGCCGCUGCUAUCGUACAAUGGACAUAUGCGUCGACGAGUGCAAAAAAACUUCUUCAGGCACAUCGACGACGCCGACCCAUCUUCCUUUUCCAUCCCAUACAUUCUUAUCAAUUUUAUGUUGUUCCAAGUGAUCAUUCUAAUGCGCUAGCUGAUGUGAAUUGGAAUAAAAAACAAUUUUGUAAUUUACUUACUGAAGUUCAGCUGGUCACUGUCAUAUA